UACGUAGGGUGCGAGCGUUACUCGGAAUUACUGGGCGUAAAGUGUGCGCAGGCGGCCAAGCAAGUCGAGUGUGAAAGCCCCGGGCUUAACUUGGGAAUUGCGCUCGAAACUACUUUGCUGGAGUGUGGCAGAGGAAGGUGGAAUUCCACGUGUAGCGGUGAAAUGCGUAGAGAUGUGGAGGAAUACCGAUGGCGAAGGCAGCCUCCUGGGCCAACACUGACGCUCAUGCACGAAAGCGUGGGGAGCAAACAGG
rnacentral:rRNA from 1 species